rnacentral:lncRNA from 1 species
AGGUUGGAUCAUGGAGUGUUGCUGGUGGGAUAUGGUUCAGCUGCCUAUGCUCCCGUCAGGAUGAAGGAGAAGCCAUACUGGAUUAUCAAGAACUCAUGGGGAGAAAGCUGGGGCGAGAAUGGAUUCUACAAAAUCUGCAGGGGUCGCAAUAUUUGCGGAGUCGACUCCAUGGUCUCAACUGUUGCUGCCGUGCAGACCAACUCCCUCUAGGGAUAUCCUUACGAUGCUGCUACCUUGUUGCUUUGUAAAUAAGGAUUU